UCGCAACCCUAAAAAGACAAACUGAGAUUGAUUUUUCGUUCAAACCUUUUCACCUGGAUAAAGCCAUUAUCACACUUGCCCUCGAACAUGCAACCCUCAUUUCAAGCAACAGGUAUGUCAAUGGAUGGACCACAGUAGGAAAACACUACGUAAAAUUCAACAGGAAGGAUCCUGAUACUCGUGGCACUUAAAUACUGAUACCAAGUUAUGGAGGGUGGUUGCAUUUUAGAGGGAUUCCAUUGCAAUCUUGGAAUUACAGCACGUUUGUUCAAAUUGUGAAAGCGUGUGGUGACUUUUGGGCAGUUGCAAGGAAAACUUUGGAAAUGAAAAACCUGUUGGAAGCAAAGAUAAAGAUCAUAUAUAACUAUGCAGGGUUUGUUUCAGCCUCCAUUUUUAUCAAUCACAUUGAUGGGAAUUAUUUUGUGGUUCAACUGAACCAUGCAGUCCCGCCAGCAUUCUCUAAUACUAAAUCUGGUAGCAAGACAAUUAAGCCUGAUAAGAUGUCAGAUUCAGAUCGCACACAAGCCAAGAAGGAUAAUUCUUCAUAUUUUCUUGAUUCAGAAAAUAACUCCUAUCAUCCAAAUCUACUAGGAAAAUAAAACGAAAGAGAAGGGUAAAGCUUUAAUGGUAAUAAAUACAGAAGAUCACAACCAUUAUUUCCAAAACUUCAAGUGCCCAUCAAAGAGGAAAGUCUCAUUUUAUUCUCCAUAAAUCAAUCUAUCCCACAGCUUAUUAGAGUUUGCAGAAAAAGAGACAAUUACACAUUAAAAGUCCAACUGCAGAUUAUAAGGAAGGAUCCUCUGACACUGAAGGCCAACAAAAUAAAUUAAUUUUGAAGAAAUACUAUCAUAUUAAAAGGCAGUCGGCACAUAUUUCAAAUAAACAUGAGAUGCAUUCAUUACCCAGUUGAAGACUUAAAGGACAAAAGCUGCAAUUUGGUAGUGGACUUAGGGCCCUUGUCAUCAUUGGAAACCUAUUUAAUCCCUGAGUAAUUGAAUAGUAUGGAGCCAACAAACUUUUUUAAUGGAACAAGCUCAACAUGUGUUCCUGACACUCGAUCCAACAAAAGCCUCACUGGUUUGGAGGAAACUGCACUUAGAGGGAAACCAAUUAGCUCCAACAAUGAAGAGAAGAACAAAGAAUCUACGUUCAAAAAUGACAAAGAUGCUAAAGAAAAGUUUUUCAAGCAGAGAUUGGUCACUUGGCUAUAGGAAAAUGACCUAAAGCUUUCACCAAAACACAAUUUUACCCUAGUUCAUCUUAUGUACCUGUAACUGUUAAUGAAGGGAAUACGGGUAACACAGGCCAUGGGUCUUUGGGGGAUACUGGUGAUACAUGAAAGUCUUGUGCUGCAAUAUUAGACGGUUAGGUUCUCCCUCUAAAAGAGCCCAAAUAACAAGCUUCAUUUCCUCCUAUGCCCCUGACAUUGACAUUCUCAAAGAAACAAAACUUUCUUGCUUAAAAAUUUUCAACAUCAAAUCUCUUUGGAACUUUUCUCAUAUCAAAUGGUUAGCUCUAAAGUCUAUUGAAAG
rnacentral:lncRNA from 1 species